CCUGCGCUUGGUCACACCCCGGAGACUUCUGGGAGUGUCACUGCGCCCAAGGAGUGCGCAGGACAUGUGGGUUGUUUCCAUCUUCUGGUUGUUGUGAGUAAUGCUGCUGUGAACAUGGUAUACAAACAUCUCUUUGAAACCCUGCUUUCAAUUAAUUUGUGGGUAUACCUAGAAGUGGAAUUACUGGAUCAUAUGAACUAUUAUGUGGUUUUCACCAGACAAACCUUUGAUCUCCUUGGUUAAUUUAUUCCUAAGUAGUUUAUUCUUUUUGAUGCAAAAUUGUUGCAAGUGUAACAGAUGCUAUUGUAAAUGGAAUUGUUUCCAUAAUUUGCAUGGGGAGGUUUCUCAUUGUUAGUGUAUAGGAAUGAAAUUGGUUUUUUGCAUGUUGCUUUUGUAUCCAGCAACUUUGCUGAAUUCAUUUAUUAGCUCUAAUAUUUUUUGUGGAAUCCUUAGGGUUUUCUACAUAAAAGAUUGUGUCAGAGAAUAGAGAUAAUCUUACUUCUUCCUUUCCAAUUUAAAUGCAUUUUCUUUUUCUUGCCUAAUUGGUCUGGGUAGACCUUCCAAUACUAUGUUGAAUAGAAAUGGUGAAUGCAGACUUCCUUCUCUUGUUGCUGAUCUUAAUGGAAAAGUUUUCAGUCUUUCAACAUUGUAUCAUGUUAUCUAUGGGUUUUCAUAUAUGGCUUUAUCAUG